rnacentral:rRNA from 1 species
ACGAACGCUGGCGGCGUGCUUAACACCUGCAAGUCGAACGGAAAGGCCUUUUCGGAGGUACUCGAGUGGCGAACGGGUGAGUAACACGUGGGUGAUCUGCCCUGCACUCUGGGAUAAGCCUGGGAAACUGGGUCUAAUACCGGAUAGGACCGCACUUUAGUGUGUGUGGUGGAAAGUUUUUUCGGUGUAGGAUGAGCCCGCGGCCUAUCAGCUUGUUGGUGGGGUAAUGGCCUACCAAGGCGGCGACGGGUAGCCGGACUGAGAGGUUGGUCGGCCACAUUGGGACUGAGGUUCCGCCCAGACUCCUACGGGGGGGAGGCGUGGGGAAUAAUUCCCAAUGGGCGGGAGCCUGAUGCCACGACGCCGGGUGGGGGAUGGCGGGCUUCGGGUUGUAAACUCCUUUCGCCAGGGACGGAACGGUUUGUGACGGUACCUGGAGAAGAAGCACCGGCUAACUACGUG